rnacentral:ribozyme from 14 species
AAAAAAAGAAGAAGAAGAAGAAGAAAAAGAAAUCCACCGCUUUCUUCGCGCCCGCCAUCACUUUCGCGCCCUUGAAUCUUUUUUUAGUUUUUUUUCUU